UCCGUACUGGUUUAUACUGGUGCAGAUCAUGGACGCCCCCUCAGAGGAAGGUGACGAUGAUGAAGAGCAGCUGGUGGCUCAGGAGCGCCCCCUGCAGGUCCGUGCUGGUUUAUACUGGUCCAUACUGGUUUAUACUGGUUCAUACUGGUUUAUACUGGUGCAGGCCGCGGACGCUCCCUCCGAGGCCCGUGAUGAUGAUGGUGACGAUGAUGAUGAGAACUCAUUGGCGCGGGUUCAGGAGCGCAUCCUGCAGAUCAUGAAAAUCCCCUGGGAGGCCGCUGACGAUGAAGGUGACGAGGAUGAGGAUGAGGAGUCGGUGGCGCAGGCUCAGGAGCGGCUCCUGCAGGUGCUGAUGGUACGCGCCGCGCAGGCGCUGUCGCGCCGGGAGCUGUGCCGGGACUGGGAGGUGCUGGGGGAGCUCGGCCGCGGCUCCUUCGGGCGCGUCCUCGUGGCGCGGCCCCGGCAGGGAGGUGUGUCAUUAGCUGUCCCAGGUUACCUGACCCGGGUUACCUGACCCGGGUUACCUGUCCCAGGUGUGUCAUUACCUGUCCCAUGUUACCUGUCCCGGGUUACCUGACCCGAGUUACCUGUCCCAGGUGUGUCCAUACCUGUCCCAGGUGUGUCAUUACCUGUCCCAGGUGUGUCCAUACCUGUCCCAGGUGUGUCAUUACCUGUCCCGGGUUACCUGUCCCGG
rnacentral:lncRNA from 1 species